CCCGCUUCCUGGGAGAGGCCCCGCCCCACUCUAUGAACAGCUAAUCAGAGCCCCUGGCUGCCAGGGAAUGCAGGUUGCUAAUGCUGUGUCUGAGAAAGGGAUUUACAAACAGAUUCCUGGUUGCUUUAAUUUCCUCCGGAAAAAACUUUUCUUUAAAACCGAAUGAGAUCAGGGCCGCACACUCUGUCUUAUCAUUCACUCCACACCCUUCCUGCUGCAGCAGGCCUGGAGGUGGCUGCAGCCCCAAUGUCCCUCUAAGUCAAGGUGUUGGGAGACGGCACUUCCGUGACUGGUCUCAGGAGCUCCCAGAUUGAAGAGCAGUGCCCAUUCGUGGAGGAAGAGGAGCAGAGAGCUGUGGACUCCAUGAGGCCUCCUUCUCAGAGCUGCCCUGGGCUGAGCCUGGCUGUCACCCUAUUCUCUAGAGCUGAGCUCCUCACCCUGCACUGCUGCCGUGGAGCCCAGAUAACCCUUGGUCCUGGGCUCAGCCUGACCAUCAUAGGCUGCUUUGUGCCCUCCCUGGCCUCCACCUGCCAAUGCCAGUAGCAGCCCUCCACCCUGCACUGUGCUGAUCAAAGACAUCUUCAGACAUUGCCAGCUGUGCCCUGGGACAGAGGUGUCCCCCUGGAGCAGUACAGAUCUGCAGGGAUUUGUGGCUACAGACAAAGCAGUCUCUGUCAGGUGAACAAGCUUAGGCUACUGGAGUCUAAACAGCUUAGGUAGGCCUGGGGAUUCUAAAUGAAGUUUCAGGGGUGGUUAACAUUCCUUUUAUUACUUUUUUUUUGGCACCAGGGAUGGAACUCGUGACCUUGCGCUUGUGAGGCAGGUGCAGGAACCACUGAGCUAAAUCCCUGGCCCCUAUCCUUUUAUUAUAUUAUUGAGUCUUAAAAAAUAAAUCUUAGGUGAAUAUGGACUCUUUUGCCUCUGUCCUUCCUCAUUUGCUUCAGGUCUUUUUUCUUUCUCAUAAAGGAGACUUUUGCUAUUUUCAGAACAUUUCCCCAGAGUGAGGUGUGGUGAUGCAUGCCUAUAAUCCUAGCUACUGCAGAGGCUGAGGCAGGAUGAUUGCAAGUUCCCAAAUAGCCUGGGUAACUUUGCAAGACCCUGUCUCAAAAUAAAAUAAUUUCUGAAGCAAUGGUGGCAAUCGUAUGGCAUGCAUGUUAUUUGUUUUUCUUUUAAGAUAAAAGAUGUCAAUGUAUGAGUUAUUUUUUCUAAACUAAAACUUUAGUAUUCAGGUUUAGUUGCAGUGUUGGCACUUUGUGAUAAAUAAGUGGGUUUUGGUUUGCCGUUGGGCACUCAUCUCUAAAAGGUUCCAUCACUGGCUAGGGUGUGUUUCAGUAGUAAAGCACUUGGCUGGGUUCAGUCCCCAGAACUGCCAAACAAAAUGAAACAACUACAAACCCAUUUCCCCAUGUCUAAUUUCACUCGAUCACCACCCCAGCCCAAGUAGUUACUGAGGUGGAGUCCACGGGCCCAGAGAGGUUAAGCGUCUUUUCCAGGAGAGCAUAGGCACCCAGUGGAGACACCUGGCCGGAGUCUGGGUCCCCUGUCCUGACCCCAUCUCCCAUGCCCCCUUCCUUGCUGAAGGCCACAGGCCCCAGAGUGCAGCGUGGAAGUGCUGGGCUUGUGCAGAGCAGCCCUUGCUUGUUCUCAGGACCUGGAGGUUGGGAUGGAUGUUUACUAGUAAGACUGACCAGGGUAUGAUUCAUGCAGUUGUCACUUUAUUAUCAUUUUCUUCCUGUCACCUUCCCGGGUCUGACAGUCCCGAGACUGCUCUGGUUAGUUCUUUGCGAUUACCUGUGGACACACCAGGAAGCAAGCAGGUGAACCCGAGAGCAGAGCCGCCCUGGCCCUUUGCAGAUUUGGUGCCUGUGUGAGUCACAGGUGGCCUCAUGCGGGAGGUCCUGCCUGAGGGUUCUGGUCAUGAGUGGACUGAGACGAGGUCCCAGCAUUCCCUGGACCUGCCAGCUCCUCCUGUGAGGAGGGUCUUUGCUGGAGUCCUGCUUGGACUUCAGAUCAGGGGCCUUGGGAACCCCUAGGAGUGACAGGCUGGAUCUGUAUGGGUGGGCAUGGUUGUAGAUUUCAUUUGUUUCUCAAAUCACACUGCUGCUUUAGGGGAAGAGAUACAGGCUAUGGCAGGUGCUCUAACCUGCUUUUGUUGUUUGAGACAGGAUCUCUCACUAUGUCAUUGAAGCUAGACUUGAACACACUAUGUAGUCCAGGCUGCUCUCAAAUGCCUGGUGAUCAUUUGGCCUCAGCCUUUCAAGUGCUGGGAUUACAGGCAUGUGCCACCACUCCUUGCUGGGUUUUUUUGUUUUCUUUUUUCUUUUUUUAAUUCAGGUUGAACCAGGGCUUUUGCACUAAGCUUUAUCCCCAGCCCUUUCUUAUUUUUUAUUUUGAGACAGGGUCUUGCUAAACCACUAAGUUUCCCCAGGCUGGCCUCAUAUUUGUGAUGCUUUUGCCUCAGUCGGCAGAGUGCUGGCAUUACAGCUGUGCACUACCACACCUGGCAAUGUAACUGGCUUUCGUGGCUGUUGAACAGUAUCCAUUAAACGUUGUUUUUCUGGUGCUGGGGAUUGAACCCAGGGCCUCUCACAUGCUAAGCACAUGCUGUUCCUCUGAGCUCCUUCCCUAGCCCCUAAACAUUUUGCUAUGCCAACUCUAUAAGCCAGGGAGGCUGCUGGAUCUCCACAGCACAAAUCCUCAAGAGCAGCAUGCAAGAAAGUCCAAGGAUGUCUAGUGCAGCCAUGUAAGAAUGAAAGACAGGAAACAGACGAAGGCGUCUCCCAUUAUGUUCUUACUGUGGAACAGUAUUUAGCUGUUCAGAAGAGUGACCUGGGUCUGUGUACUGAAACCAAAAGUGAUCUAAGUUGUAGUGGAGGAGCAAGACCCUUUUCUGGUUAGAGACGGCAUCUGUUGACAGGCAUGGAGGCAUGAGCCUGUAAUCCCAGCACUCUAGGAGGCUGAGAAAGGAGGAACACAAAUUUGAGUCCCAACAGGAGAACUUAAGCAUGACCCUGUCUCAAAAUAAAAAAUCAAAAAAGGGCUGGAGAUGUAGCUGAGUGCAAAGGCCCCGGGUUCAAUUUGCUGUACCAAAAAUAAAUAAAAA
ensembl:lncRNA